GGGGAAUUUUCCGCAAUGGGCGAAAGCCUGACGGAGCAAUACCGCGUGAGGGAUGACUGCCUAUGGGUUGUAAACCUCUUUUUUCAGGGAGGAAUAAAUGACGUGUACCUGAAGAAUAAGCAUCGGCUAACUCCGUGCCAGCAGCCGCGGUAAGACGGAGGAUGCAAGUGUUAUCCGGAAUCACUGGGCGUAAAGCGUCUGUAGGUGGUUUAAUAAGUCAACUGUUAAAUCUUGAGGCUCAACCUCAAAACCGCAGUCGAAACUAUUAGACUAGAGUAUAGUAGGGGUAAAGGGAAUUUCCAGUGGAGCGGUGAAAUGCGUAGAGAUUGGAAAGAACACCGAUGGCGGAGGCACUUUACUGGGCUAUAACUGACACUCAGAGACGAAAGCUAGGGUAGCAAAUGGGAUUAGAUACCCCAGUAGUC
rnacentral:rRNA from 1 species